rnacentral:lncRNA from 1 species
GUAUUAUAAAUUUUUCAAGUGAUCAUUUUUGUUUUAGUUUCAGCAUUUAGAGAGGACUCCCUGCAAAGAAGAGAGCUCAUCCCUAGAUAUAAAACUGGAGUAGAAGAUCAGAGUUGACACAUGAGAAAGACUGAUGAUGGAAAAUAAGAAGAAAGUAAGCAAUUUUAAAGGAGUGGAUAUGAAGAAAUGCCUGGACAAAUCCUUAAAGUUUCAGAGCUCAGCAAAAGCUGUUAUUUUUAGGCUUUCCAUGAGGUUAAAGGACCCCAACCAAGAAACCUAAGAUUAGUAGAGGGAAAACAAUUUUUCCUCUUCUACAACAGUCUAUAGCUGCAGGGAGGUCAGCUAUAACGUAUAAGAACAGAAGAGUGAUAUAAAUCAUGUCAAGAAAAUGUAUAUGGUAUGUAGGAUUUAAUUCUCACCUAUUCUAUAUAUGAAAAGAAAUAACAAUUUUGAUAACCUAUUUUCCUACAUUUUAUCUAAUUUUUAUAAUCCUUAGUAUUCUUCUCUACAGAUUCCUGGAGGAACUUAUAUUAUCAAUUGGGAAAUAGAGGGAAGGGAUGCACUUUGAACAAAGAUCAGGGGCCUGGUCAUGGACACUUGGAACCUGCUUCAUUCCAAUUAGACCACUAACUGACAACCCAC